UACAGAGGGUGCAAGCGUUGCUCGGAUUUACUGGGCGUAAAGCGUACGCAGACGGUGGGCAAGGUCGGAUGUGAAAGCCCCGGGCUCAGCCCGGGAACUGCAUCCGAAACCGUCCCGCUAGAGUAUGAGAGAGGGAAGCAGAAUUCAUGGUGUAGAGGUGAAAUUCGUAGAUAUCAGGAGGAAUACCUGCGGCGAAGGCGGCUUCCUGGCUCAUUACUGACGUUCAGGUACGAAAGCGUGGGUAGCAAACAGG
rnacentral:rRNA from 1 species